GGGGGCGAAAAGGGUUCGACGGGGACGGAAGAUUAGCAGGCAGCGUGUUGAGGUCUCCGCAUGCCUCAUUAAAAAGGCGGAACAUCGAUAAAUGUCGAACCAACUUUUGCAUUAGCAGCUUAAUGUAAGUUGCCGUUCUGCGAAAGGUUUAGCUCGAGACGUUUCGCGAGAGCGUGAGCAAUUCGGGCUCACUCGAUCGCCCUCCCAAGCGAUCCGAGGACACCGUAGGGAUUGGGGUUUUAGCAGCUUGCGUCUGAACUGCGAAAACCCGACAUCGAUCAGACGCUACACACGUAGAAACCUGUUAUGAACUGUUUUCGGACGGGGGUUCAAUUCCCCCCGCCUCCACCA
rnacentral:tmRNA from 3 species